rnacentral:rRNA from 1 species
AACGAACGCUGGCGGCAUGCCUAACACAUGCAAGUCGAACGAGAUCUUCGGGUCUAGUGGCGCACGGGUGCGUAACGCGUGGGAAUCUGCCCUUUGGUUCGGAAUAACAGUUGGAAACGACUGCUAAUACCGGAUGAUGACGAAAGUCCAAAGAUUUAUCGCCAGAGGAUGAGCCCGCGUAGGAUUAGCUAGUAGGUGUGGUAAAGGCGCACCAAGGCGACGAUCCUUAGCUGGUCUGAGAGGAUGAUCAGCCACACUGGGACUGAGACACGGCCCAGACUCCUACGGGAGGCAGCAGUGGGGAAUAUUGGACAAUGGGCGAAAGCCUGAUCCAGCAAUGCCGCGUGAGUGAUGAAGGCCUUAGGGUUGUAAAGCUCUUUUACCCGGGAUGAUAAUGACAGUACCGGGAGAAUAAGCUCCGGCUAACUCCGUGCCAGCAGCCGCGGUAAUACGGAGGGAGCUAGCGUUGUUCGGAAUUACUGGGCGUAAAGCGCACGUAGGCGACUUUGUAAGUUAGAGGGUGAAAGCCUGGAGCUCAACUCCAGAACUGCCUUUAAGACUGCAUCGCUUGAUCC